AAAGCGCCCUUGAACUGCGCUUCACGUCAGGCCAAUGCCAAAGACCCGCCCGCUGGCCGGCUGGGGAUGGCAGGGGGCGGGAGGUUCUCCGGGGGUCCAGCCUCCUCCCUCGCUCAGAAAUUGGAAGGCUCCGGAGUCGUGGCUCACAUUUCCACUAAUCUUCCUCAGGAGACGGGGUUUGAGCGCGUGCCUCCGGAGCGAAGCAAGGAAGCCCCGCCGAGCAAGGGGGAAAGCGGCGGGCGGCCUCGGGCGGCGGACCAAAGCUUCUCCUCACGAGGUCAGAGAAGCUCCCCGUCGGGGCCUUUCCGUUCGGCAGCCGGGCGAGUCCGCGAAGCUCCCCGGACGCGCGUUUUAUGGCGCUAGGACCCAGGCAGAGCGGAGCGAGUUCCGAAUGAGGCUGCGGCGGCCGUGUGAAAGUGAAUGGCUGGGGUGCGUCGGGAAAGUGGCCACGGAGCAAGGCGCCUCAGGAUUCCCGGCGGGCUGGGCAACGGCGCGUCCGGCGGCAACAGCAGCCCCUAGGGGGUCUCUCUCCACCUGCCCGCGGCCGCAGCGCUGAGGAUGUAUCAAAUGAAGGACAAGAACAUCCACUGGAAAAGAGGAAAGCCAUCAUAUGAAGGCUGCUGUUUUCCUUUUUACUACUUGUUUGUAUUUUCUUAUGAUCUCAGACAAAUGAUCACAGAUUAUUGUAAGUAUCUUAAUAAGAGCCACCAUGGUACAGUGGUUAGAAUGUUGUAAACCACUUAGAGAGGGCUGUAAAGCACUCUAUGUAACCUAUUACUAUUGCUAUAAUCUCACAUGGAUAUAUAACUAGUCACAAUGCAACUGUGUUGAAAUAAUUCAGAGAAAUGUAAGUUGUUACAAUGAAGGCAGUGCUUUGAUUAGUCAUAUUGACUAAAUUUGCCAUCAAAGAUCACAAGGAACAGAUAAGCAGAUGGCGUCAGUUUCUGGCCCAUGACAGUUUCACCUAAGGCUAAUUCACAGACUGAUUUAUUCCCAUUGAUGUGCAAUAUUACUCUUAAAUUAUUUCUAAUUAAAUAUAAAAUAUUUAUAAAAAAUUAAAACUAUGUAGAUAAGAAGAUUGCUUAUCAUUUGCUUCUAAUUUAGUAAGGCAACAUUUAGGGUGGAAGAAUAAAAAAUAUUCUGUCAUACAUCCUGAAAGGGUAGUACAAAUCAUAGAGAGAGAAUAGGUUGGCAUGUUGAAUAGCUCUAAUGGUUGAAAAUAGUGGACUUUCUAGUCUUGCAAUGGGAAGGAUAUUAAACUGCAGAGAGCUGUUGUGCAUUCAAAAAGUACACUCAUGCUGUAAAUAUGAAAGGUGACCAAAAUUAAUUUUAUAAAAUAAUCGCAUAAAUGAACACUCAGAAUUUAGCAUUAUAAAAAUGUCAUCCUGGGGUGAUACUAGGUUCCCAGUAAAGCUUACAUUGUUGGGAUCUCCCCAGUAAUCUACCAUCCAAGCAUUUUUUAAAACUUUUUUUCAAAAACAGCCAAUGUUACAGUUUAUUGCUACUUAGUUUGAACUUAACAUAUUAUCUUCCUUCCAAUGUAAAAUAGUACUUUAGAAUAAGGACUAUGGAUUAUUAGGACUAUGAUCACUUUUUUUUCUAUACUGAUCUCCACUUCUUUCUUGACCUCCUGCUUUAGUUUUAAGGGACAAAAGAAUAAUUUGGCUCUAGUGGACAACUGCAGUUCAGUAUCUGCUUUUUGAAGAAUACAUCACCAAUAGAUAAAGAAUUCUACCAGUCAAAUCAUUGCUCUGAGAUAAUAGCAUAUAUCUGUUAUUAGCUUCAGAGAGGUAUAAAAGAAAUAUAGCUGGGUAAACAUCUGUAUGUUAGCAUCCUUGAUCAGCAUACUUAACAAAGUUAUUAUUAAUCUUUUAAAAAUGCAUUACUAAUAAUGUUAGUCUUGGUUCUUUCAUCAAAAGCAAAUAAUCAUUUUUUUGUCAACACUCAUCCAAGAGAAUUGUAAGAAGAUGCUUUAAUAGCCCAGUUUGUUAAAUAAACAUUAUCUAUGGACUUGUUAUUGUGUUGUUCGCUGCAGUUCAGAAUAAAAUAUCUGGAAUCUAUUUAAUCUAGUAAGACUUUUUUUGUCGAAACAUUAGCUGAAGAUAGCAUUAAUUAUAGAGUUCAGAGUAUGUUCAAUUUACAUAUAGGAAAAUGCAUUCAAUGUCUCCUCUAUGUCAAAUUUAAUUCCUAAUGGCUUCGUAGAUAUAUCUACAUAAUGUUCAUGGCAAAACAAUAACAAUAAUUUUUAAAAACCAAGUGGUUUUCCAUAGCCAUUUUCUGACAUAUUUUUAACUUUCUAAUUCAAAGUAUAAUAUACCAUGCACAUAUAUUAUAUAUACCCAAUAGUCCUGAAAUUUCUUGGCAUUCUUCCAUUAAGGACAAAUCAGGUCUGGCAUACUUACUUUUUCCUGAUCAGUCAGUAUUGGCUAGUUACUAACCAUUUCAUGAUAUCAAAAUCCACAUUUUGUGGAUUUAGAAAAAUUAAUUAUCUUAAAUGUUUGCAUGUUUUAUUUUCUUUUGAUGAUUUAAAAUUUUCAUAUGAGACAGGAUUGUGACAGGAUUCAUUACCU